GCCAAAUGAUGUAGUUUAGAUUUUCAUGAACUUGUGAUGUUGACUAUCAUCUAUCACCCAAUAACUGAUGGCU